rnacentral:rRNA from 1 species
AAGCGGAGGAAAAGAAACCAACAGGGAUUGCCUCAGUAACGGCGAGUGAAGCGGCAACAGCUCAAAUUUGAAAUCUGGCCUCUUGGGGUCCGAGUUGUAAUUUGUAGAGGAUGUUUCGGGUACCGCCUCGGUUUAAAUUUCUUGGAACAGAAUGUCAAAGAGGGUGAGAAUCCCGUCUUGGACCGGCGGUAGGGCCUAUGUGAAACUCCUUCGACGAGUCGAGUUGUUUGGGAAUGCAGCUCAAAAUGGGUGGUAAAUUUCAUCUAAAGCUAAAUAUUGGCCAGAGACCGAUAGCGCACAAGUAGAGUGAUCGAAAGAUGAAAAGCACUUUGAAAAGAGAGUUAAACAGUAUGUGAAAUUGUUGAAAGGGAAGCGCUUGCAACCAGACUUGAGCGCGGCGGUUCCCCCUUGCUUCUGCUUGGGUUACUCCGCCGUGUCCAGGCCAACAUCGGUUCUGGGGGUCGGUCAAAGGCUCUGGGAAUGUAUCUACCCACGGGUAGACUUAUAGACCAGGGUGUCAUGCGACCUCCCGGGACCGAGGAACGCGCUUCGGCUCGGAUGUUGGCGUAAUGGUUGUCAGCGACCCGUCUU